CCAGACAGGCCAGGAUAGGUAAACAUGUGGUGAAGGCAACCGGAUGUAUAUGCACGGAGCCAAACACACACACACACACACACACACACACACACACACACACACACACACACACACACACACACACACACACACACACACACACACACACACACACACACACACACACACACACACACACACACACGGACAUACACACCCACAUAUAUAACGUAUCCACAAACAGUCCUAAAUUACACACACACACACACACACACACACACACACACACACACACACACACACACACACACACACACACACGGAUUAUGUCCAGCUAAAAUAUUCGCUGUCACGCGGAGCAAACAAGGCAAAACAAUUGUAAGAAAAAAAAGCAAGGGAAGAAAAAUGAGUCCUGCUUGACACUGCACAGAGGCCGCUGACAGUACGCGAGUGAAAUAAAGCAGGGCUGUUGAUGGCCUGGCGACUCGUGACAGCAAUGUGGCAGUUAUGACGUGUUAGGAGGAGGAGGAGGCUUAUAGAAGGCAGAGGUGGAGCACGAUUUUUUUCUUUCUCUUUUACGGUACAGGAGACAUUUCAAGGGCAAAACAACACUCAAGAUAAUGCCCCCGACACGCGACUCUAUAAAAAUAAAAAGAGGGGAAAAAGAGGAAGAAGCUGACAUACACUGCUUAAGAUUUAGUUCGGAAAUCAUCGCAGUGACCAUGAAAAAGAUUAUCGGCACCCGUGAUUUGCAGAUAAGUAAUAAGAAAAAGAUUCUAAGAUGUACCACAAGGACGAAGGAAACAGGACAAGGCACUAAACUGAAAGCAGAGUCCAUUUAUAACACUAAAUCCUAUUAUCUCUGACACGGAAGGCACGACAAAACUCCCACAACUUAUAUCUACUAAACGGGACUAAUUCCUUCAUAGUGAACGCCCUGACCAUAACAAAUAGCGGCUUAGCAAUAGCUUGAGAUAAACACAACCUUGGCAAGCUUGUGUCGCCUCGGGAACCCACGCGCCAGGGACAUGAGGAAGUGGCAAGCGUGUGACGGGGCGAGGUGUAACGGGAUGACUGUCACCUCAAAACACACACCAUUGCGCCCGCCGGUGGAGCGUGAGUCACGGCCGCAUAAGGUAGAGAGGUAGGCGGUGGUGUGUGUCCUCCACUUCGCACACGCCACUUGAUUCAGGGGAAAAAAAUGAUAAGGAACUGCUCUGUUAGAUUUAAUGAGCUGUGAAAAAAGUAAGGGAAAAAAUAAUAAGAAAUUGCUUUGGAAAAAUUAAUGUGCUAUGAAAGAAAUCGGGAAAAAUAUUAAGAAACUGCUCUGGAAAAUUUAAUGAGCUAUGAAUUUAUGACAAAAAAUCAGGAAAAAAUAUUAAGAAAUUGCUCUGGAAAAAUUUAUGUGCUAUGAAAGAAAUCGGGAAAAAUAUUAAGAAACUGCUCUGGAAAAUUUAAUGAGGUACGAAUUUAUGACAAAAAAUCAGGAAAAAAUAUUAAGAAACUGCUCUGGAAAAUUUAAUGAGGUACGAAUUUAUGACAAAAAAUCAGGAAAAAAUAUUAAGAAACUGCUCUGGAAAAUUUAAUGAGGUACGAAUUUAUGACAAAAAAUCAGGAAAAAAUAAUAAGAAACUGCUCUGUAACAAUAAACGAAGUAUGUAAAAAAAUCAGGGGAAAAAAUGGCCAGAAACUGCUCUGAAAAAUCGAAUGAACCAUGAAAAAUAAAUAAAGACCUGAUAGAUAUUCUUUCUUUUAACAGCAGGGCAAUUUGUGUGUCCUUCAUUUCGCACACACCACUUGAAUGAGGAAAAAAACCAAUAACAAACUGCCU